CUUGAUUUCUAGGCAAGCCCACGGUUUCAUAAUUUCUCCUUUUGAGAUGAGGACAAUAUUUGUAGACCUAAAAAGAUCAUUUUUAUUGUUCUUGCUUCGCAGGCGUUUUAUGCAUCCCGUUGCUUCUCUUGCAUAUAAAGGCACUAGUGUAGCAUCAGAGUAUGUUGAAAGCAGAAAGCUCACUUUCCCCCAGAGAGCUGUCUUUUCAUGCUGUUUCUCAAGGCCAGGUUAACAGCUGCUGCACCUCUGGGGGUGGACGUGUGAGACCUCAGCUCCCCGUCUCCUCCACGCUGGCACAGAAAUAUUAAUAGUGCAGCGAAGAAGCACAAAGCUUCCUGUGUGUGAAGCGAUGGCAGGUGCAUGUGGAGAACUCUGAGUUAGUAAUGAAUCAGUCCACCAGAGGGGGCAGCAAAGCGAGAUCACAGCAGAAAACAAUAACAUCUAAAAGAGGGUGAAAGAGAAGUGGAAAGAUCUGGAAUCAGUGACAACAGGAG
ensembl:lncRNA